UGUAAAUUACGUAUUAUAAAAGAAAACCAUUUAAAAAAAUAAAUUCUAUUGGAUUAACAUAAAAAUAUAAAAUAAUUCAUUAUGAAACUAAAUAAUAAUAAUAUAAAAGAAAACAGAAGUGUUUUAUCAUACUAAAACCAUCAAACAAAACCUAAAUCUCUGCCCCUUUUUCUCACUGUUUUGAAACCCAGAAUCCCCAUUUCCACCCCGAUUCAGACGAAGUGAAGGAGGACUCCAAUGCGCGCUCACACAGGUAAAUCCUUUGCCUUCUUUUCUAUUUUUUUGACACACAAUCAAUCAAAUAUAGAAAAGAAAAGCAACAAAAAUAAAAAAAACUCCAAUCACCUUAAAAAUCUGAUUUGCUUUUUAAGUUUUUGAUAUUUUUUUGUAUUGAUUUUCGUAUCCAGUAUCCGUUUUACAGAGUUGUAUUUGGCUUUAUAUAGCCAAAAUAACAGAAAAAUGAAAAAUGAAAAAAUAUAAAAAUUCUAUUCUGUUAUUUUCUUUGCUGUCAUUCGGUUUCCUUCAUUGUUGUUUGUUGCAGGUGUGAGGCCAGCUGGAAGCGAGGAGCACGUGGGUGAGGCCGACGCAUGGCGGUGGUGCAGCACGUGCUAAGGGAAGCCUGGACUCGACUGCGGCGCAAGGAUUUUCAGAAACCCUAGAAGCUUCUGGGGUAUUCCUCCGAUUUGGGCUACGGUUUGGGCUUGUAAUUCGGGUUUGGGUGUGGGUAAAUGGUUUUGGGUUAGUGAAUUUGUGCUUUGGGUUUGUAUUGUAUUUGGACUAGUAUCGGCUUUUGUAAUUUGGACAUUAACUGGACUUUAUUAUUUUUUUUGUUUUUAUUUAUUCAUUGGGCCGACAAGAAUGGGCUAUGGCAAUUAGUAAAAAUAAAAGAGCUAGUACAUCCAUCAAUCGUUGUAAGUGAUUGGAAAAACGAGACGAUGCCAUAAUAUAGUUCUAAAAAGAAGAAAAACAAUAAAGCUAGUAACACAAAAAAAUCAAAGAAAAACUAGCCUAAACAAAUUGGAGACCAAACAAAAAAAACACGACCUAAAUAGUUGAAAGAUGAAACGACCCUCCACAAAAUAUUGCAUUUAACCACCACCAUUCUUGAAAAAUCAAGCUUAUGAUUUCCGCAUCCCACUGAUGAUGGCAUCUCAACUAUUUCGCCCAACUCACUCCUUCUAACUUAAUCGCCUCAGAGUCCUAAAAUAAUCAUUCCUUCGGUGCUAGAAAACCAACUCAACCCUAUUCUAACAUGGCCCUUCAAUCCCAUUUUGCUUCUACUUCUACCUCACCCGGAGCUUCC
rnacentral:lncRNA from 1 species